rnacentral:rRNA from 1 species
UACAGAGGUCCCAAGUGUUGUUCGGAUUCACUGGGCGUAAAGGGUGCGUAGGCGGUCGGGUAAGUCUGGCGUGAAAUCUCCAAGCCUAACUUGGAAACUGCGUUGGAUACUAUCCGGCUCGAGGAAUGGAGGGGAGACUGGAAUACUUGGUGUAGCAGUGAAAUGCGUAGAUAUCAAGUGGAACACCAGUGGCGAAGGCGAGUCUCUGGACAUUUCCUGACGCUGAGGCACGAAAGCCAGGGGAGCAAACGGG